GGGAGUCUGGGGGAGAACAGAUACACGUGUAUAUAUGGCUGAGUCCCUUCCCUGUUCAUCUGAAACUACCACACCAUUGCUAAUCAGCUACACCUCAGUAUAAUAUCAAAAGUUUUAAAAAAGAAAGAAAAAGCAGGAAGGUUUCCUCCUCGGAACUGGUGGUAGCAAUCGGCUCUUCCUCUGUUUUGUAAAUUCAGCCACGAAUUCAGCCAGACAGAUGUGGGCAGGCCUUGCGAUCCAGUUACUCCACUAAUUUUUAGAAGCCUAGAGCUGAGGGGUGUCCCUAUGGCUCCUUGGAAUUCCUAUGUUUGUUUUCUCUCCGUUGCUAGGGUAACCGGUUCCCAGCAGCAGCUGUAACAACUAUCAGCAUGUGUCAAUCUCACCUUGACUUGAUAGCCAAAAGGAAUACAGAUGGGUGAAGAGAUUGAAAAAAAUUAAAAAUGAAAGAAAACUCACCCCCAGGGGAGAAUUUGAGUAUUUACUCUACAGGACACGGGGACAGAGGACAGACCAGACGAAAGCAAAGCUGAUUUGGAGACACACAGGAUGAUCUCUCUGGCCACAGAGCAGCGAAUGAUUGGAUGUGGGUUAGACUGGAGGCAGAAACAAUGCAGAUGUGGCUGCUGGAGUCUUUCGGGCUGGAGAUCGCUGUGGCUGGAACAGAGGAGGUGACCGCGGGGAGAGGUGGCCCCAACUACACAGACAAACUGAUGGGAUAAAUAUGCCAUUGGACCCACUAAAUGCAGAGAACUGGUGUGAAGGAGUGAGAACAACAAAGCAUAAAAGAAGAGAAGAUCAGAGAAGUGGAGACCUGUGCUCCAGAGAUGGAGAGGGAAUUCCCGGAGGCCACAGAAAACUUGAAAUGAGGACAGAAGGCAGUAAAGCCUUUUCCCUGUCCUAGAUAUCUUAUCUUUGUGGAAAGACGGAGUGCAACGUCCAUUUACUACUGAAAGGACCAGAAAAUGCUUCAGCAGUUGUGCUGUUUCAUUUUUUCAAGAAGCCAGGCAGCCAAGGAGGACUCUCUCCCCAGGAGCACGUGUGUGCCCAUGUGAAAACUCUACGCCUCCCAGAUCCACGUCUGCCAGUCGCUGUCAGCCUUCUGAAGAGUCUUUAUUCACACUGUAAGCACUUGAUGAAGAGUCCUCAGAGUAAAUUCCUGGCCAGAGAUGGAUGGCCUGACCUUAUUCAAAGGCAAAAUAAUUUCCAGACAUUUAUUUUGGAUGGAAACACGUGUCUUUCCCUUGGCAAUAAUUUCCUUGUGAGAUAUGCUAUAUAAUUUCCCCCAACUUGCAAAUAGACGAUUCAGAAAUUUCAUUUGUAGGUCAGUUGUUUGGAAUGCACAAGGAAUUUUCCAUAGAAAUAAUAUUAUAAAUGGUGGUUCAGGACCCUGGCUAGGCCCCCCCACCCCACUUUUACUUAACACAUGCCUCAGUUGACAUACUGCAGUGGAGAACGUGGAAAACAAGAGCCACCGAUACUCUUUGUUAUAGAAAUGAUAUCACACAGUGGCUUGGGGUGUAGUGUGAGACCGACUGCACUAGGACAAGCAUUAGCUGUGUGACUUUGGGCCAGUUACCUAACUUCUCAAUUUCUUUGUCCACAGAAAGGGGAUGAUAUUGAGAUCUAGUUCAUAGAGCUGUUGUGUAAGAAUUACACAUACACACACAUCCCCCUUAGACUGGUUCCUGGAACCCAGUAAACACAUUGUGACCUUUUGCUAUCAUCAUUGUUGGUUCUAGUAAUUGGUGUGGUGCUGAGUCUGUUUCAAUCAUCGAUUGGACAAAAAGCAAUACUCGUGGAAUAUUAAUAGCAAAAUAAAAACAGAUGGAUUUUUUCCCUCAUGGUUAUUGCUGUUUGAUUAAAAUAAGGUAAAUUAGGGGAAAAGAAGAAACAGAUGGAUAUUGAUAUUGAAUGAUAGGAUAUUUUCAAUGGAAUAUUGACCUUAAAAAAGUUGGGUUUGGGAGGGAUAAUUUAGGAGUUUGGGAUUAAAAGGCACACACUACUACAUGCAAAAUAGAUAAGCAACAAGGAUCUACUGUUUAGUGUAGGGAACUAUGCUUGAU